UGAACGUCCGAGCUGCUAAGUGCGUCAGUUGUGGAGAGACGUAGAGGAGUUGAGUUCGUGUGUGUAGGGAGGCAGACAGCUCCGACGCAGACUACGGACCUCUCCAGGUCUCAGCCGUCAAAGACCCUGUCCGGUAGGAAACACUAGCCGGGGAUCAUGAGUGGCUGUCGAGUGUUCAUUGGGAGACUAAAUCCCGCAGCGAGGGAGAAAGAUGUGGAAAGAUUCUUCAAGGGUUACGGACGGAUCAGAGAUAUUGAUUUGAAAAGAGGUUUUGGUUUUGUGGAAUUUGAGGACCCAAGGGAUGCAGAUGACGCUGUUUAUGAACUUGAUGGGAAGGAACUUUGCAGUGAAAGGGUUACUAUUGAACAUGCUCGGGCUCGGUCUCGAGGUGGAAGAGGUAGAGGACGAUACUCCGACCGUUUUAGCAGUCGCAGACCUCGAAAUGAUAGACGAAAUGCUCCACCUGUAAGAACAGAAAAUCGACUUAUAGUUGAGAAUUUAUCCUCAAGAGUCAGCUGGCAGGUUUGUUGAAAUACAGUUUUGAUAUUUUAAUGUGGCAUUUAAGAAUGUUAAUGGGUAGUUAAUGUUUUAUUAAUAUAUCUUAAAUUAUUGCUUUAUCUUAAAUUAAUGGAUUUAAUUCAAUUAUAAUUUUAAACUUUAGUUAAAUGUAACUGGGGGAUGUUUCAGAUUUUAAUAUUAGUGAUCAAAUGUAAAUGUUUUGAGGUUAUUUUUUCAUGUUUUUUAAAAUCAAUUUUAACCAAAUAUUAAACCCUUUAUUUGCCAGCCUAUCUGUGUCGUUGGCCUUAUGACGAGGAGUGCCUGUGGGUUAUCCUAAUCGUUGUCUUGGUCACUCUUGGUUGGGCCUGGUUGACUUUGCCAGUCAGCUCCUACAGUGAUCAGUUGGCCACCUCUAGAUCUGUGUUUGCCGGUCUAGACGUAAUCGGUGCACUUACUUGAAGUGCCGGGUUGCAGCGAUCCCAGAACGUUGAUAACGUGAUCUGAUCCCUAAGUUGAGAGCUGUCUUCCUGUAACGCUUCCGAAUAAGAGGUCCUGGUCGAAAGAGUUGAAAGAUACGAAAUUAGUUGGUCGUUGGAAUCCUGAUCGCAGUAAAGUGGUCCUUGGUAACUGCACACGAGUAAAACAUGUCUGCAUCGCCAGUAGUCUGCUAAUAGGGAGGGCUGUGCGAUUAAAGGCUUCCAUCGAUUGGGUAGUAUCCUUCAAGUGGGUGGCGAAGAGCCAGUCGGGCCUAUGUCAUGAAGGUUUCUCCGACCGCUUAAUGGUUUGCUGCUUGACUAGCCUAGGGAAAUGUUAAUAAAGGUAAAGUAAAUUUUUUUAAUGACAUAUGGGGCACAAAAUAACUGGUGUCUUUGUAAAUGUUGUUUUACUUUUUUUUUUGUUUUUGUUUUUUUUAAAUAUAAGACUAGUCUUUAAAAGAUGUACUGUUCCUUUUUGUUUUUUUGUUGUUUGUUUUGUUUUUUUGUUUGUUUUUCCCCCUUUUUG
rnacentral:lncRNA from 1 species